rnacentral:lncRNA from 1 species
UUUUCAUUUUUUUAUAAAAAAUUCUCAAUCAAGAGAAAAUAAUAAUUUUUUUCUCUCUUUUUUUUUCUCUCCUAUUCUUCCAUCCCAACCAAGAUAUUAGUGCAUCAACCUCACUCACAGGCUCUGGGUAGUAGAGAUUUUCGGCCUCUAAUAUUUGGGUCCGGUUGCUGAAGUGGUCUUGAAAUCGAUCUAGUUGAGAUUGGACUAGACGACGGAGCUCUUAGAAAGUUUCUACAAAUAAGUCUGCUUAUUAAAGGUUGCCCGGUGAGCGAUCCUUCAACAGUC